AUUGAACGCUGGCGGCAUGCUUUACACAUGCAAGUCGAACGGUAACAGGGAGCUUGCUCCGCUGACGAGUGGCGAACGGGUGAGUAAUGCAUCGGAACGUGCCUAUUUGUGGGGGAUAACGUAGCGAAAGUUACACUAAUACCGCAUACGCCCUGAGGGGGAAANCGGGGGAUUCGUAAGAACCUCGCGCAAAUUAGAGCGGCCGAUGUCGGAUUAGCUAGUUGGUGGGGUAAAGGCUCACCAAGGCGACGAUCCGUAGCGGGUCUGAGAGGAUGAUCCGCCACACUGGGACUGAGACACGGCCCAGACUCCUACGGGAGGCAGCAGUGGGGAAUUUUGGACAAUGGGCGAAAGCCUGAUCCAGCCAUGCCGCGUGAGUGAAGAAGGCC
rnacentral:rRNA from 1 species